rfam:Triticum aestivum genome assembly, contig: Triticum_aestivum_CS42_TGACv1_scaffold_001868_1AL
CUUAUACUCCCUCCGUCCCAAAAUUCUUGCCUUAGAUUUGUCUAAAUACGGAUGUAUCAAGUCACGUUUUAGUAUUAGAUACAUCCGUAUCUAGUCAAAUCUAGACAAGAAUUUUGGGACGGGGGAGUAUUUU